rnacentral:misc_RNA from 1 species
GAUGAAGAACGCAGCGAAAUGCGAUAAGUAGUGUGAAUUGCAGAAUUCAGUGAAUCAUCGAAUCUUUGAACGCACAUUGCGCCCCUUGGUAUUCCAUGGAGCAUGCCUGUUCGAGCGUCAUUUGUACCUUCAAGCUUUGCUUGGUGUUGGGUGUUUGUCCCUCGGGACUCGCCUUAAAGUCAUUGGCAGCCAGUGUUUUGGUUUUGAAGCGCAGCACAAGUCGCGAUUCAAGGCUAUCCGCCCGCUUCCACAAGCCUUUUUCACUUUUGACCUCGGAUCAGGUAGGGAUACCCGCUGAACUUAAGCAUAUCAAUAAGCGGAGGA